GAUGAACGCUGGCGGCGUGCCUAAUACAUGCAAGUCGAGCGAACGGACGAGAAGCUUGCUUCUCUGAUGUUAGCGGCGGACGGGUGAGUAACACGUGGAUAACCUACCUAUAAGACUGGGAUAACUUCGGGAAACCGGAGCUAAUGCCGGAUAAUAUUUUGAACCGCAUGGUUCAAAAGUGAAAGACGGUCUUGCUGUCACUUAUAGAUGGAUCCGCGCUGCAUUAGCUAGUUGGUAAGGUAACGGCUUACCAAGGCAACGAUGCAUAGCCGACCUGAGAGGGUGAUCGGCCACACUGGAACUGAGACACGGUCCAGACUCCUACGGGAGGCAGCAGUAGGGAAUCUUCCGCAAUGGGCGAAAGCCUGACGGAGCAACGCCGCGUGAGUGAUGAAGGUCUUCGGAUCGUAAAACUCUGUUAUUAGGGAAGAACACAUGUGUAAGUAACUGUGCACAUCUUGACGGUACCUAAUCAGAAAGCCACGGCUAACUACGUG
rnacentral:rRNA from 1 species